GGCCAGGGAGGUGGUUCUGACCCACUCAGGGAGCCAGAUCCUGCUGGAACACGAGGAGUUUGCUCUGGGACACACGGAAUGCUGAGCCCCUGGAUCCAGCUGUUUGCACUUCCUUUGGAAUACAGCAGCAACCUGCCCACAGUGCUCUGAGCUGGAGUCAGUCCCUGCCUGGGCACCAGCACAGCUACAGGAAUAGUUAAGCAUUGGAAUAGCCCGUGUGUGAUGACAGAUGCCACCAUCCAUGGAGACCUGCAAGGACAAGGAGC